GGCGUCCUACGGGGGGCAGCAGUAGGGAAUCUUCCACAAUGGACGAAAGUCUGAUGGAGCAACGCCGCGUGAGUGAAGAAGGGUUUCGGCUCGUAAAGCUCUGUUGGUAGUGAAAAAAGAUAGAGGGAGUCACUGGGCUUUUUUUGACGGUAAUUACUUAGAAAGUCACGGCUAACUACGUGCCAGCAGCCGCGGUAAUACGUAGGUGGCAAGCGUUGUUCGGGUUUAUUGGGCGUAAAGCGGGUG
rnacentral:rRNA from 1 species